rnacentral:rRNA from 1 species
GGGUAAUUUUCCGCAAUGGGCGAAAGCCUGACGGAGCAAUACCGCGUGAGGGACGAAGGCUUUUGGGUCGUAAACCUCUUUUCCCUGAGAAGAAGAUCUGACGGUAUCAGGGGAAUAAGCAUCGGCUAACUUCGUGCCAGCAGCCGCGGUAAUACGAGGGAUGCAAACGUUAUCCGGAAUUAUUGGGCGUAAAGCGUCCGCAGGUGGCUCUGUAAGUCUGUCGUUAAAGAAUGGGGCUCAACCCCAUACAGGCGAUGGAAACUACAAGGCUAGAGUUUGGUAGGGGUCACGGGAAUUCCUAGUGUAGCGGUGAAAUGCGUAGAUAUUAGGAAGAACACCAGCGGCGAAAGCGCGUGACUGGGCCAGUACUGACACUCAUGGACGAAAGCUAGGGGAGCGAAAGGGAUUAGAUACCCCUGUAGUCCUAGCCGUAAACGAUGAUAACUAGGUGUUGCCCGUAUCGACCCGGGCAGUGCCGUAGCCAACGCGUUAAGUUAUCC